GGCUUAUUCAGUUUCACUUUCGCACUUACUGCUUGAGAUAUUAUGAAGUAAAAAAAAAUUUCACACCUCUUAAUUUUUUGAUGUGAGAUAAGACAUUUUUGCUUUAAUUUGCUGCUUGAUUUUUUGCGUGAGUCACAUCUUGAUAUAAAAAAAGGUGUUGUACAUCCUUAGUUUUUUUUAAACUUAAAUUGACUUUUGAUUUACAUGACUUAGAUGAUGAUCCCCUGACCUAAUGGGCCAGCAUAAGUAAAUCAUGAUCAGUUUUCAUGAACUUUUUCUUUGUCAUAUGGUUUGUUUGAACAACAAAAAAUUGUGCUAAAUAUAGGGCAAGAUGCACAAAACAUGAAUUCCAAUUUUUAAAGGUGUGUACUCAGUACAACCACAUGUAUUUACUCAAAAAUAAUUGUCAAGUACAAUUACAUGUCACCUUGUGCAUAAAAAUCUUCAGUAUUACAUGUAUACAAAUACCUCUUUAGUACAGUGACAUUAAUUUGCAUUCUUGCCAUGAUUUUAAGAGUUAUGUUUAUUUUUAAUGCACAGUUUACAAAUUUUAUGCAAUAUUUCGUUUUUAAAGUGACUAGCAUAUUGUUUUUGUCUUUAAUUUUAGUAU
rnacentral:lncRNA from 1 species